GAUGAAGAACGCAGUGAAAUGCGAUAAGUAAUGUGAAUUGCAGAAUUCAGUGAAUCAUCGAAUCUUUGAACGCACAUUGCGCCCCCUGGCAUUCCGGGGGGCAUGCCUGUUCGAGCGUCAUUUCAACCCUCAAGCACAGCUUGGUGUUGGGACUCGCGUUAAUUCGCGUUCCUCAAAUUGAUUGGCGGUCACGUCGAGCUUCCAUAGCGUAGUAGUAAAACCCUCGUUACUGGUAAUCGUCGCGGCCACGCCGUUAAACCCCAACUUCUGAAUGUUGACCUCGGAUCAGGUAGGAAUACCCGCUGAACUUAAGCAUAUCAAUAAGCGGAGGA
rnacentral:misc_RNA from 1 species